AAAAAUAUAAUAAAAACGAUAGGUCACCGCGCAUUUUCUCAAGCUACAGGACGUGACAAAAUGACACAUUUUGUAUGGAUUAUACAGGAAAAAACACCAUUUUGUGAUUAGAAACUAAACAAAAUGAUAGAAUUGUUAAAUACUUAAGGAAAAGAUGGCUUUCAGACAAUGUUUUGAGAAUAUCAAAAGAAAAGAUAUGGUCACCGUACGUUUUUUCCGGUUAAAAUACAAAAUAGGAAAAUUUCAUGUAGAAUCCUUCAGAAAAUGCACUGCUUUAGAGUUACCUCCCC
rnacentral:lncRNA from 1 species